rnacentral:rRNA from 1 species
GUGAUCAAGCCAUGUCAAGGGUGAAGUUCAGAUAACACUGAAUGGAGGCCAGAACCAACGGACGUAGGAGAGUGGGCGGGGAUGAGGGGUGGGGAGCGGAGAAAUGUCCAUCGAGCCUGGAGAUAGCUGGUUCUGCUCGGAAUAAGCUUUGGGGCUAGCCUUAAGUGUAAGAGUCUUGGAGGUAGAGCACAGAUUGGACUAGGGGUCCUCAACGGAUUACCGAAUUCAGUCAAACUCCGAAUGCAAAUGACUUAUCCGUAGGAGUCAGAAUGCGAGUGAUAAGAUCAGUCGUCAAAAGGG